CGUUAAGUUGCAGGGUAUAGACCCGAAACCCGGUGAUCUAGCCAUGGGCAGGUUGAAGGUUGGGUAACACUAACUGGAGGACCGAACCGACUAAUGUUGAAAAAUUAGCGGAUGACCUGUGGCUGGGGGUGAAAGGCCAAUCAAACCGGGAGAUAGCUGGUUCUCCCCGAAAGCUAUUUAGGUAGCGCCUCGUGAAUUCAUCUCCGGGGGUAGAGCACUGUUUCGGCUAGGGGGCCAUCCCGGCUUACCAACCCGAUGCAAACUGCGAAUACCGGAGAAUGUUAUCACGGGAGACACACGGCGGGUGCUAACGUCCGUCGUGAAGAGGGAAACAACCCAGACCGCCAGCUAAGGUCCCAAAGUCAUGGUUAAGUGGGAAACGAUGUGGGAAGGCCCAGACAGCCAGGAUGUUGGCUUAGAAGCAGCCAUCAUUUAAAGAAAGCGUAAUAGCUCACUGGUCGAGUCGGCCUGCGCGGAAGAUGUAACGGGGCUAAACCAUGCACCGAAGCUGCGGCAGCGACGCUUAUGCGUUGUUGGGUAGGGGAGCGUUCUGUAAGCCUGCGAAGGUGGCCUGUGAGGGUUGCUGGAGGUAUCAGAAGUGCGAAUGCUGACAUAAGUAACGAUAAAGCGGGUGAAAAGCCCGCUCGCCGGAAGACCAAGGGUUCCUGUCCAACGUUAAUCGGGGCAGGGUGAGUCGACCCCUAAGGCGAGGCCGAAAGGCGUAGUCGAUGGGAAACGGGUUAAUAUUCCCGUACUUGGUGUUACUGCGAAGGGGGGACGGAGAAGGCUAUGUUGGCCGGGCGACGGUUGUCCCGGUUUAAGCGUGUAGGUGUGUGUUCCAGGUAAAUCCGGUUCACUUUAACACUGAGGCGUGACGACGAGGCACUACGGUGCUGAAGCAACAAAUGCCCUGCUUCCAGGAAAAGCCUCUAAGCAUCAGGUAACAUCAAAUCGUACCCCAAACCGACACAGGUGGUCAGGUAGAGAAUACCAAGGCGCUUGAGAGAACUCGGGUGAAGGAACUAGGCAAAAUGGUGCCGUAACUUCGGGAGAAGGCACGCUGACACGUAGGUGAAGUGAUUUACUCAUGGAGCUGAAGUCAGUCGAAGAUACCAGCUGGCUGCAACUGUUUAUUAAAAACACAGCACUGUGCAAACACGAAAGUGGACGUAUACGGUGUGACGCCUGCCCGGUGCCGGAAGGUUAAUUGAUGGGGUCAGCGCAAGCGAAGCUCCUGAUCGAAGCCCCGGUAAACGGCGGCCGUAACUAUAACGGUCCUAAGGUAGCGAAAUUCCUUGUCGGGUAAGUUCCGACCUGCACGAAUGGCGUAAUGAUGGCCAGGCUGUCUCCACCCGAGACUCAGUGAAAUUGAACUCGCUGUGAAGAUGCAGUGUACCCGCGGCAAGACGGAAAGACCCCGUGAACCUUUACUAUAGCUUGACACUGAACAUUGAGCCUUGAUGUGUAGGAUAGGUGGGAGGCUUUGAAGUGUGGACGCCAGUCUGCAUGGAGCCGACCUUGAAAUACCACCCUUUAAUGUUUGAUGUUCUAACGUGGACCCGUUACCCGGGUUGCGGACAGUGUCUGGUGGGUAGUUUGACUGGGGCGGUCUCCUCCUAAAGAGUAACGGAGGAGCACGAAGGUUGGCUAAUCCUGGUCGGACAUCAGGAGGUUAGUGCAAUGGCAUAAGCCAGCUUGACUGCGAGCGUGACGGCGCGAGCAGGUGCGAAAGCAGGUCAUAGUGAUCCGGUGGUUCUGAAUGGAAGGGCCAUCGCUCAACGGAUAAAAGGUACUCCGGGGAUAACAGGCUGAUACCGCCCAAGAGUUCAUAUCGACGGCGGUGUUUGGCACCUCGAUGUCGGCUCAUCACAUCCUGGGGCUGAAGUAGGUCCCAAGGGUAUGGCUGUUCGCCAUUUAAAGUGGUACGCGAGCUGGGUUUAGAACGUCGUGAGACAGUUCGGUCCCUAUCUGCCGUGGGCGCUGGAGAACUGAGGGGGGCUGCUCCUAGUACGAGAGGACCGGAGUGGACGCAUCACUGGUGUUCGGGUUGUCAUGCCAAUGGCACUGCCCGGUAGCUAAAUGCGGAAGAGAUAAGUGCUGAAAGCAUCUAAGCACGAAACUUGCCCCGAG
rnacentral:rRNA from 1 species